rnacentral:rRNA from 1 species
UCCUACGGGAGGCAGCAGUGGGGAAUAUUGGACAAUGGGCGAAAGCCUGAUCCAGCCAUGCCGCGUGUGUGAAGAAGGCCUUUUGGUUGUAAAGCACUUUAAGCGAGGAGGAGGCUACUGAGAUUAAUACUCUAGGAUAGUGGACGUUACUCGCAGAAUAAGCACCGGCUAACUCUGUGCCAGCAGCCGCGGUA